UACGAAGGGGGCUAGCGUUGCUCGGAAUCACUGGGCGUAAAGCGCACGUAGGCGGCUUACUAAGUCAGGGGUGAAAUCCUGGAGCUCAACUCCAGAACUGCCUUUGAUACUGGUGAGCUUGAGUUCGGGAGAGGUGAGUGGAACUGCGAGUGUAGAGGUGAAAUUCGUAGAUAUUCGCAAGAACACCCGUGGCGAAGGCGGCUCUCUGGGACGGUACUGACGCUGAGACGCGAAAGCGUGGGGAGCGAACAGG
rnacentral:rRNA from 1 species